UGCAGAAAUAUUAUCACCUAUCUUAUUCACCCUUUCUUAAAUGUAAGAGAUUUAAUAAUUUCAUAAAUAGCUUAUAUAUGCAGGCUGAGAGUUGUAUGUAUCUUGAAUUAUAAAUACAUUGUAAUAGUAAUUUGGUAAAAAAAAAAUUGGGUCAUGCUUUUUGUCAUUUCAUGCAUUCUUCCCUGAUGCUAAUUCUUUUUGGUUCUCUGAAGCUGUCUACAAGAGAUCUACUUUGCCGGUUUUUAAAGCACAUGGGAUGGCCCAAGCAUCUAUAUCUGAUUGUGUGACAGAAACAUUUUCUGCUAUUCGAACAGUAAGAUCCUUUGGUGGUGAAAAGCGCCAAAUGUUUUCAUUUGCUAGCCAGGUUCUAUCUUUCCAAUCAAGUGGGCUG